rnacentral:rRNA from 1 species
CCGGGGUUCGUUUACCAGGUACUGUCAUUAUCAUCCCUGGCGAAAGUGCUUUACGACCCUAGGGCCUUCAUCACACACGCGGCAUGGCUAGAUCAGGCUUGCGCCCAUUGUCUAAGAUUCCCCA